GACGAACGCUGGCGGCGUGCCUAAUACAUGCAAGUCGAACGCAGUGGGGACGGGUGAGUAACACGUGGGUAACCUCCCAUCAGAGGGGAUAACACUUGGAAACAGGUGCUAAACCGAUAUUGAAGGAGGGAACCGCGUUGCAUUAGCUAGUUGGUGAGGUAACGGCUCACCGAGGCGACGUGGCAUAGCCGACCUGAGAGGGUGAUCGGCCACACUGUGACUGAGACACGGCCCAGACUCCGACGGGAGUCAGCAGUAGGGAAUCUGCGGAAAUGGACGAAAGUCUGACCGAGCAACGCCGCGUGAGUGAAGAAGGUUGUCGGAUCGUAAAACUCUGUUGUUAGAGAAGCGGUAUCUAACCAGAAAGCCACGGCUAACUACGUGCCAGCCGCCGCGGUAAUUC
rnacentral:rRNA from 1 species